UCAAAGGAUAGUUUAAAUAAAAUAUUAAUUUUGGGGAUUAAUGAUAAAUUAUAUUUUUCUUUG
rnacentral:tRNA from 1 species